GGGGUAUACGAGAUAUGAGGUAGGGUACUGGCAACAGUGCUCUGCUGAAAUAUUUUCACCCAUGUCUUUUGCGCACUUUUUGUUUCCUGGGCGAGUUUGCUCGCCACCAGGACCCCCAUAUGAACCUUUUUUGUUUUUGCACUCAGCGUCAGUACAAUAAUUUAAUCUAUUAAAACUUUCAACAACGGAUCUCUUGGUUCUGGCAUCGAUGAAGAACGCAGCGAAAUGCGAUACGUAGUGUGAAUUGCAGAAUUCAGUGAAUCAUCGAAUCUUUGAACGCACAUUGCGCCCUUUGGUAUUCCAAAGGGCAUGCCUGUUCGAGCGUCAUUUGUACCCUCAAGCUUUGCUUGGUGUUGGGCGUCUUAUUGUCUCUCCGUCUCGGGGAGACUCGCCUUAAAACAAUUGGCAGCCGGCCUACUGGUUUCGGAGCGCAGCACAAAUUUGCGCUUGCAAUCAGCCAAGGGCGGCAUCCAUGAAGCCUUUUUUCUCUCACAUUUUGACCUCGGAUCAGGUAGGGAUACCCGCUGAACUUAAGCAUAUCAAAAGGCCGGGAAGGAA
rnacentral:rRNA from 1 species